GAGCCUUUAUGGGGGCCUUAAAUACAUGUGGUGGUUCUUUCUCUUGCUUCUCAGACUCCCCCAGGCCAAGUCAGGGAAGUUGUGAAGGUGGCCAUUGAUGCUGGAUAUUGCACAUUGACUGUGCCUAUGUGGAACAGAAUGAGAAUGAGGUGGGAGAAGCCAUUCAAGAGAAGAUCCAGGAGAAGGCUGUGAAGCAAGACCUCUUGAUUGUCAGCAAGGUUCUACCAAGGCCCACUUGGUGACUACAGGUUCAAGGCAGGUGGAAGUUUCUGGACCACUCCUAGAGCCCUAUCCAUCUUUACCAAUCUCUUUGAUCUUGGGAAUCUCCAUUACUACGGGGUCUUCUGGCUUGGCACUAGACGAAGAAAGAGAGCUGGAGUAAAAAUCACCAUGGCUACUGUGUGCCCGUGAACAUCCCUGCCAGGACAGCAUCAAGGCUGAGCACUGCAGCAUUUUUCCUCUGCAAGGCAGGCAGGAAGAUCUUUCCCCCUGGAUUCGUGCAUAGGAUCUAGUACUUUGGCAAUUUGAAAAUACUGCCCCAGCACAGGACAUCAGAAAUGGAAUAUUCCAGGGGAUCAGACAUGCUAUCAUUUUAAAAACACUUUACCCUGACAAUCCCACUUGGGUUACCAACACAUUGCCAUUGGUAUAUUUUAUCUUGUGCCUUGGAACUUACAUACUAAUAGAACAAAUUACAAAAUGCUAAUUUUAA
rnacentral:lncRNA from 1 species